CCUGCCUCUAGGCUUGCGGAACCAACUGCUGGGAGGCAGCUGGGUUUGCAGAGAGGCCGGUGGUCAGCAGCACCUGUAUGUCCUUGACUUUUGCGUAUGUCCUCUUUGCGUUUUGGAAUCCCAUUCUGGAUACCGCAUCACAUUUAGUCAUCGCAUCUCAUCUCGGCUGUGGCAGUUAGUUACUGUAACCCUAGAUGAAUACUAUUUAUUGCUUGAGUGGCAUAUGGAGGGUUCAGCAUCAAUUCACAUAGAUCCUCUCUUAGGGAGCAAUGCAUAGAGUCUGGGUAAGGAAAGAGGCAUCCCCCAGAGGAAGAAAAUAGAUUCCAGACCUGCUGCUAAUCCUCUCCUUCCCAACUUCCUAAGCCAUUCUUCUCAGUGACAAUUCGAGUGCUACUGCUUGGUGUCACAUCAUUAUAAUCAUGUGAACAAGACCUCAUGAUGCUAUAGUUGCUGCUGGCAGCCAUCUUGUGACCAAAACAAGAAGGGCUUUUAGGAUAAAGGAAACACUCUAGACAGCAGAGGAGAAAGACAAAAACAUCUGUAUCCCUGAUGUCAUAGCUUGAGCCAUGGAAUCAAAUCACCCUGCAGUUGGCUGUUGUACUUCUUGCUAUGUGAAAUAAUACAGUUCCUUAUUGUUUAAGCCUGA
rnacentral:lncRNA from 1 species